UGUGUGUGUGUGUGUGUGUGUGUGUGUGUGUGCAUGUUUCUCCAUUUAUCUGUUAAGAUGAAUACAUUUUUAUGUAUUGUUGUUCUAAAUAAAUACAUACACAUUGGAAUCCAAAAGUCAGAUUAUUUGUUUAUUUUUUUUCUAAUUUAAUGUAUUUUUUUAUUGUAAAUUCUGUUAGCAGCAUAUCAAUUUGAGAUCAGAGAUGCAAAAAACCUGAUAAGCAUCCAGAUUUUGCAUGGUCUAUGAUAUGAAAUCAUCAUAAGCAUUGUUAUAAAGUUUUCUAAAGCCUAAAACAUGUUUAUUUCUAGGUUAAAAUGUGCCAAUAUGGUCUCAGAUUUUGGAGCUCACAAUUAUUGCAUUUUUUUUCACGUUAUAAUUCUUUGUGUAUAUGACAGAUGCACAUCUUGCCAAAAAUCUUGAGAUGUUUCCUAUAACCCUUAACUGAAGUGUUAAUUCAGAUCUUUAGGUUGUGAAUUACUAAGAACAAUUCCUUUUCUAACUCUUCUCACAUUUUUAAUUUUGGGCACUUGCUAAUUUGCCAUUUUCAUACAGCGUAGUGUCUGAAUUUCAAUCUGCACCUCCGGCUUGGGUUAAUUAAACAAGCCAGGUUGACACCACGUCUAUCCUUCAGCUAGAUCAAUGAGUGGGUGGACGGCAUACCACAACCACAUUCAGCCGGAUUCCCCACAAUCCUCUGGAAAUGUGUUUGGCAUUCCAGCUCUGGGUAUAAGUGGCCAUCAUCUCACCGCAUCCAAUACCUGAACACAACCCAGUUCAACCCAACGUCCCUGUUCUCUUUGCUCGGGAAGGGCCGUGAUUUAGCAGGUUUGGACAGUGAGCGAGCUCUAAGAGACGUUUGCCUCUCUUUCCAGCAUCCUGACUUUGAUACUGGGUUUAAUUCUAAUGGCGCAACACAUCCAAUCCGGUUAUGGGUUUCAGGCCGCUGGAGCAUGGAGGCGGCAUGUCCAUCUUUAAUCCCAAUCAGACGUGCUUGACUCAGGAUGUGAAGCCGGCCCACUGGUACUGCAUGGGAUUGCUGAUAAAGGAUAAUUCUGGUCCUGUUUGAAUAGGACACAUGGAGCGACUCUCCGUCAGUCAGACAGGGACCCUCGACUGAAGCUUUCUGGAGCUCAAGUUGUGCCAGAAACAUUCAGUGUACUUCAAUCACACACUCUCAUCAUUCCUUUCAUACCAGCAUGCAUUUCUGUGGCUCUUCCAGCCUUAACAGAAUAAAUGGAAGAGACUAUUGUUUCUGUAGAUUAUG
ensembl:lncRNA